CUGAAACAGUAUUACCAAAUGAUUCUACCAUCUACCUGGAAAAUAAAUGGCAUUCUUUGAUUUUUCACAAAACCGCUGAAAAUUCGGUACACAUUUAUCAAGACGGAUUCUUUCGUUUAAAGCUGGAGUCAACCUUUGUCCUUUUAAAAGGAGUGAAUAUCAUUCAUGUAGAAGGUAAAAGUGAAAUUUCACAGCUACAUAUUUGGACUGCAAACAGAGAAG